rnacentral:rRNA from 1 species
UACGUAGGGUGCAAGCGUUGUCCGGAAUUAUUGGGCGUAAAGAGCUCGUAGGCGGUCUGUCGCGUCUGCUGUGAAAACCCGAGGCUCAACCUCGGGCCUGCAGUGGGUACGGGCAGACUAGAGUGCGGUAGGGGAGAUUGGAAUUCCUGGUGUAGCGGUGGAAUGCGCAGAUAUCAGGAGGAACACCAAUGGCGAAGGCAGAUCUCUGGGCCGUAACUGACGCUGAGGUGCGAAAGCGUGGGGAGCAAACAGG